UGUGAGCCUUCUCAGAUGCUGCCUUGGGAACUGCACAGGUGCUGGCACCUCCAGCCAGUCAACUCCUUAGAGUGACCUUGGGCCAGAAGAUGGGGGCAGGGCCUCAGUGGGGACAGAACCACCCCACCUACAGCUGCUUUUAUAAAUGGAGAAAUGCAUUCAAAGUUCCAAAGCAACCAGCCAGUAAGUGGACUACUGAAGCUCCUGUGAGAUGAAGUGGCUUCACUCUUGGCAGCUAGAAUAAGAAAGGCAAGAGCCAAGAACCAGAGGAAAUACGACAUCCACGGAAGCCUCUGCCACAUCCAAAGAAGGAAUUAAUCCAUCAGUACUCAUUGAGUGUCUACUAUAGUCACAGCACUCUGCUCCUGGUUGAAAAUAUACAAGAGAAAGAUUAAAAGACCCAGUUCAAUACGUCUGUCUGCGGAAGGGGAAAUGAAGCAUCUGCUUGGUGCCUCCAUUAGGAAGAUGACUUACGACAGGCAGCUGUCAGGCAAGGCGUCUGCAUUCUGACGGAGCCGGCUAGACCAUGGAGCUGAAAGCCUUCAAGAAGCCAAUGAAAGUCCCAGAACCUUAGCCCAGCCCUUCCCCACCCGCUCCCCCAGAAGCAACGUGAACAUGGGUGCCCACAUACACACAACUGUGAGAAUAAUUUCAGCGUUUUCGAGCUUCCUCACCCCCAAGGUCCAGACCCGGAUGCCACAUCUAUCAGUUCUGAGCUGUGUGAUGUGGGUGGAAUUACUCGCUGUCCUCCUUUGUAAGAUGGGCAUGCACGAACCACACCCAGCUCAUGGGUUUGUUCUGAAGAUGACAUGAGCAGCUGGAGCUGGAGCCCUGGGCACGGCACCUUGCCCAUACUGGGAGCUGGUCAUUAUUAGCUGGUAUUCUCAUGCCCAGGCCAGGAGUUUAAGAUUCCCCAGUCAAAGAGAAUAAUAUAGGUACUUUACAGUUGAUCAGUGCCAAUUUUUCUUUGAAAUCUACCUUACAGGUUUUCUGGAGUAAUGGUUCAGAGUAUGGAUUUACUUUAUAAUAUCGAUAAUUUACUUUAAAAUGGUUUGACUUUGAGCAAGGGAACACUGAGUUUGUAUUAGCUGGAGCCUCCAGGGUGGUCAGCUGGUGUUAUAUCACAAAGACGUCAGGUCUUCAGAUCACUGAGGCUUUGAAAAUUAACAUCGUGAGCGUCAGAAGUGAGUUUUACUGGUGAAAUGAGAGGCUUGCUAGUCUACAUGAUGAAUAUCGGACAUAGGCUCUCGAUGGCAAAAUCAAAGGUAUUCGAGUGUGGAGGGCUGGGUAAACAUUGUAAAGGCGCUCCCCACGUGUGCAUGAGGCGCUGUAGGAAUCCAGUGAGGCCUGUGGCCAUGGCCACAGGGACGGCACCGAAUGUUGCUGUUGCUUCUGUGAACUUUUCAGACAAGAGGUAGACCCAUCAAGCUCACAGCCGUGUGAACUGUCCUGGGCUUGCUUUCUCAAGGAAUGUUGGCUUAAUAAAAGGCCUGUGUUUGUGGCCGAA